CGGCAAUCUUCAAAACAGCAGAAGAAACUGGCACAGUCCUUGCCAUCCAGACACUCAUACCCAUAUUCUUCAUCUCUCUCUUGAAGACUAUUACAGAAAGAGAGAAGAUGGUGUUGUAGAAGGAUCCUGAGCUCACCACCCCCACAGCUAUACUGAGGUGUAACAACUACAUAUAUUGCAACUCACUCUGAAAAUGACCUGAAGAUUGGCAGAACAUAUCUUCUGUAACAGGUAACGUCAUAAAAAGAAAGCCACAUCAAGAAGGGUAAGAGGGAAGAGGCAUGGUUAGGAACCAAAGUACUGCUGUGACUACCCAGAAGUGGGAGGGAUAGGACAAGCAUGGAGGCACAAGGGGGUGGGCACCCCUAUUCCUGGGUGCCUGCACUGAGAUGAGCUUCCAUAAUGUCUGGCUUUAAAAAUCAGCAGGACCUAACUCCAGGAGAGCCAGAAGGUCAUAGGAAACCAAGUCUCCACUUUUAAUUGAAGAGCCAGCAUGCUAUAUUACUCACUGUGUAUGCCAGCACAGAAGAACCAGUUUGCAGAGAGUUUGCAGGCCAGAAGGGAUUGGCUGCUGAAAGGAAAAAAAACCUACAAGCAAAAAUACUUCACCUGGCAAGGCUAUCAUUCAGAAUUGAAAGAGAAAAACUUUCCCAGACAAACAAAAGUUUCAG